GUGCGUCUGAGAUUAUCGAUACCAGUGAUCAUUGCCAAAGCCGUUUUGCCUGUGGAGAGGGUGAUGUUUGACUUCCUUGUACAUCUGCAGUUUGAAUGGUGAAGGCACUCCCACAAUGUGGUUGGAUUCCACCAUCUGCCAAAAUGGAAUUCGAACAAGGACUUCAGUCAUUUGUUUUAAUAUUCUGGAUAAAAGCUAAAUACAUCAGGAUGAGGGUGUCACUGGCUGGGCCCAAAGGGCAGUAAAGAG